GGUCCAAACUUGAAGUAGAGUAGUUUAGUAGGGUCAGAUGAUCCUCUACUCUACUUCAAAUUUGGGCCC
rfam:Haemonchus contortus, ISE/inbred ISE, WGS project CAVP01000000 data, contig: Hcontortus_37910